GAUGAACGCUAGCGGCAGGCCUAACACAUGCAAGUCGAGCGGUAGAGAGUCUUCGGAAUCUUGAGAGUGGUGUACGGGUGCGGAACACUUGCGCAACCUUCCUUUAUCAGGGGGAUAGCCUUUCGAAAGGAAGAUUAAUACUCAAUAAUAUAUUUGAUGUCAUCAUUAGAUAUUGAAAGCGUUGGCGGAUAUAGAUGGGCACGCGCAAGAUUAGAUAGCUGGUUAGGUAACGGCUCACCAAGACGAUAAUCUUUAGGGGGCAUGGGAGGGUGACACCCCACACUGGAACUGCGGCACAGACCAGACUCCUACGGAAGGCAGGAGUGAGGAAUAUUGGACAAUGGGUUAGCGCCUGAUCCAGCCAUCCCGCGUGAAGGACGACGGCCCUAUGGGUUGUAAACUUCUUUUGUACAGGGAAAAACCUACUAUCGUGAGAGUAGCUGAAGGUACUGUACGAAUAAGCACCGGCUAACUCCGUG
rnacentral:rRNA from 1 species